UCUCUCUCUACAGGGAAAUGAGGCGAGUUAUCCUUUGGAGAUGUGCUCACACUAGUUCAUUGAAGGUGUCUCUCAGUUCAGUGUCAAGGGCGACAAGGAGCAGAAGCUCCGCUGUGAGUGUCUUUCAGUCUUGAAUUUCACCAACACUUACCUCUCAUUAAGUUUAAGUGCUUACUACAUCUGUGUUCAUCCAGUGUUGGGCCAAGCCAAAAUAAACACAACAAACCCUCAUAAAACUAGUCUGUAGUGCACUGGAGCAAAGCAUUUGAUCACUUUUUCUGGCAGGUUUUUUAUUCUUCGUUUGUUUCUGCAGUUGCGUUCAGGAUUUAUGACAUGGAUAAGGACAUAAACUAGUCUGUAGUGCACUGGAGCAAAGCUAUUUGAUCUACUUUUUCUGGUCUAGGUUUUUUAUUCUUCGUUUGUUUCUGCAG
rnacentral:lncRNA from 1 species